rnacentral:rRNA from 1 species
CGCGUACACAAUCUGCCCUUUUCUGGGGGAAAGUCGCUGGAAACGGCGAAUAAUCCCGCAUAAGACCACAGUAUCGCAUGGUACAGGGGUUAAAGCUUCGGCGGAAGAGGAUGAGUGUGCGUACUAUUAGCUAGUUGGUAGGGUAAUGGCCUACCAAGGCUACGAUAGUUAGGGGGCGUGAGAGCGUGAUCCCCCACACGGGUACUGAGACACGGACCCGACUCCUACGGGAGGCAGCAGUAAGGAAUAUUGGUCAAUGGAGGUAACUCUGAACCAGCCAUUCCGCGUGCGGGAAGAAGG